rnacentral:rRNA from 1 species
AGAGUUUGAUCCUGGCUCAGGAUGAACGCUGGCGGCGUGCUUAACACAUGCAAGUCGAACGAAGCAUUUGCGACAGAUUUCUUCGGAUUGAAGUUGCUUAUGACUGAGUGGCGGACGGGUGAGUAACGCGUGGGUAACCUGCCUCGCACAGGGGGAUAGCAGUUGGAAACGACUGAUAAUACCGCAUAAGCGCACAGUGCCGCAUGGUACAGUGUGAAAAACUCCGGUGGUGUGAGAUGGACCCGCGUCUGAUUAGCUUGUUGGCGGGGUAACGGCCCACCAAGGCAACGAUCAGUAGCCGACCUGAGAGGGUGACCGGCCACAUUGGGACUGAGACACGGCCCAGACUCCUACGGGAGGCAGCAGUGGGGAAUAUUGCACAAUGGAGGAAACUCUGAUGCAGCGACGCCGCGUGAGUGAAGAAGUAAUUCGUUAUAUAAAGCUCUAUCAGCAGGGAAGAUAGUGACGGUACCUGACUAAGAAGCUCCGGCUAAAUACGUGCCAGCAGCCGCGGUAAUACGUAUGGAGCAAGCGUUAUCCGGAUUUACUGGGUGUAAAGGGAGUGUAGGUGGCAUCACAAGUCAGAAGUGAAAGCCCGGGGCUCAACCCCGGGACUGCUUUUGAAACUGUGGAGCUGGAGUGCAGGAGAGGCAAGUGGAAUUCCUAGUGUAGCGGUGAAAUGCGUAGAUAUUAGGAGGAACACCAGUGGCGAAGGCGGCUUGCUGGACUGUAACUGACACUGAGGCUCGAAAGCGUGGGGAGCAAACAGGAAAAGAUACCCUGGUAGUCCACGCCGUAAACG